AUGAGUCAAGAACUGACGGGCACUUGACAACGUUGAAAGAGACUAAGAUCGAUAAAAGUGCAGAGAAAGAUUGUGAAAGUGAAGAAGACAGUUGUUUGUCAUAUGAAGAAGACAGUUUUUUGUCAUCAUUAGAAACAGAAUCUGGAACGGAAUGUGAUGUACCGGAUCUUCCUGCUGCCCAGGCAAAGAGUUAUUUACCGAGCGAAAGUACGUCAAAGUCAGCCGGUGUAGAAUACAUAUCGUAUGAAACAUCCAGUAAAGCCCAAGUUGAUUCUGGCAGUAGGGACACACUACAGACAAUUGCCCUGCUGGAGAUAUACAAGUCACAAAGAGCUAUAGCCCACUACCUUGAAUUGGCAUAUCUUUCAUUCUAUGACUACCCAGACAUCGAAAAUGAGGUAUUAACAUCAUCGCAGUCUGUUAAGGAAAAACAUCGAAACAGAGCUGACAGUGAAUGGUAUGGCUUAGUCAAUGAAUUAAAC